ensembl:lncRNA
CGCUUUUCCGUCUCUUGAGUGCAAGAUAAAGAAGAACGAUGGUGGGCUUUCACAGGAAUACGAUGAAUCCUGACCAUCACGGUGUCUGCAUUGACGGUACAAUACAGGUGAGGAAAGCCAUCCACCACAAUUCAACUCUACAUAUGGAUUUAUUUUAAACCUACUCUAAAGCCAGGCACCUAUCGAAGCCGUUAUUGCUGUCUAGUAGCAGACACGGUCAACAGGAUGCCUAUAACAUCACUUUCACCGACGGUCGCUGUGCAGUUCGUCAGUAACUGACACCGCAACAUUAAGGGGAAGGACACUCCAUGUACAACUAACUAUCCAUCUGCAGUUAAGCAAACAGAUCAUCAAUUCAGAUUUUCUUUGUUUUACCAUGCUUCCUAAAGGUCAAAGGGAUGAGCUACUCUAUGAAGAACAAGUGGACCUCUUGAAGGCUUGGAGCAUCUGGGCCGACCCGUGAGAUGCUGUAUGCAAACCAGUGGACUUUCUGGAGGUUUGCAGUUUCUUAACAAACUGGGUUGAAUAUGAGCAAUGGACCUUCUGGAGGUAAUUUAAGCAUCAGUUGGUUUACCUCAUUCUGGCUAUGAUGACACACUUGCCCUCACUGAGAGGAGUGCCUCGAUAAUGAGAACACCAUAGUACUCAAAACCUCUGAGCCAUGCUUAUUUGUGCAUUUCUAGAAAUGUAUUCAAUGUGUUUAAAAAGAUUAAGCCUGUUCUGAAUUGGCCAAACUGUUUUUCUUCUAGUUGUUAUACAUAUUGAAGUGGAUGGUUUCGUAACAAAUCUGCCGGUAAGUCAAGACUUCAACACAUUUUAUUAAUCUUUCUGUAGUAUAUUACCCAUGGCAGCAUGCUAUCCUAAGGACCUGGGCUUUGUAGCCUCUGGUUCUCCAAGUGCAUGCCAGAGAAACGGGCAGUCUUUGACUGUCCUGGCCUUUGUGCUUGAGGCAGUCACUCUACUGUCCUACAAAUAUUGUAACCUAUUAAUUUUGCCUUGACUGAUUUUAAUUUACAUUUUGCUUUUAUUAACUGCACUUGAGUUCCUCAUGUCUGAUUUCAUCUUUCUGCAGAUGACGCGUCAGUGUGGUGUUGCCCCAAUCAAAGUCGUCUGGGAAGUGUUGUCAAGGCCUUGCAACUGGUGACAUGCGUGACAGCAUUGUCAAAUUCCACAUCACAACACGAUGCACGCCGGUACUCGUGUGUAGGUAUGUAGUUGACUAGUUCCUGACUCCUCGACAGGUUGUUCUGAUCAAUGAUUGAUAACAAAACUUGAAAUUGUGACUGUUGGAUGAAACAUGCGGAUAUGGGACUGAGAUCAGGACUCAUGGCAAGUAGUGACAUUUGGAUGAGUCUUCUGGAACUAAAAUCAUACCCCUGUAUUUCUGUUUUGUUAUUAGAUGUGCUAAGAUGGCUGAAGACCAGUCUGGACCAAGGGCUUUCUGGCCUGCCCCUUCAGUUAGAAGAAACCCAACGAGUCUAUUUUAAAUAAACUCUCAAAACCUUGAA